AUACCAUGAUGAGGACACUUUCUGAGCAAUUCCUUGAAUCUUUCCCAAGCCUCGUACAAACUUUCAUCUUCAAGUUGAUGGAAGGAGGUAAUCUCAUUCCGUAACUUU
rfam:Citrus sinensis cultivar Ridge Pineapple sweet orange scaffold00073_contig_37, whole genome shotgun sequence.